UACGGAGGGGGAGCUAGCGUUGUUCGGAAUUACUGGGCGUAAAGCGCACGUAGGCGGCUUUGUAAGUUAGAGGUGAAAGCCCAGGGCUUAACCCUGGAAUUGCCUUUAAGACUGCAUCGCUAGAAUCGUGGAGAGGUGAGUGGAAUUCCGAGUGUAGAGGUGAAAUUCGUAGAUAUUCGGAAGAACACCAGUGGCGAAGGCGACUCACUGGACACGUAUUGACGCUGAGGUGCGAAAGCGUGGGGAGCAAACAGG
rnacentral:rRNA from 1 species